GUUUUUGUAGUUGAAUUACAACAGUGGUUUUUCGUAUCACAGGUCUCGGUUAAAAUCCCGGUAGAAACU
rnacentral:tRNA from 1 species